rnacentral:rRNA from 1 species
CACCCUCCGAGCAGCUAGCCCACCCCCCAAAGCCCAAACACCACCAUAAAUACCCCCACAAACCCCACUACGAACCACCAAAUCAUUUUUCCACCUUAGUAUGGGAGACAGAAAAGGACAGAGGAGCAAUAGAAAAAGUACCGCAAGGGAAAGCUGAAAGAGAAGUGAAAGAACCCAGUAAAGAAAUGAGAAGUAGAACUUAACCUUCGUACCUUUUGCAUCAUGAGCUAGUCAGAAGCAUUUGAGCAAAGUGAGCUUUAGUUCAAAACCCCGAAACUUGGCGAGCUACUCCAGGACAGCCCAUUAAGGGGCCAACCCGUCUCUGUUGCAAAAGAGUGGGAAGAUCCUUGAGUAGAGGUGACAGACCUACCGAGCCCAGUUAUAGCUGGUUGCCUACAAAAUGAAUAGAAGUUCAGCCCCUCCGAUUAUUUUUUCCCAAAAGGCAAUGCCAUUCAAUGAUAUAAAGAAUCCGAGGGAGUUAUUCUAAGGGGGAACAGCCCCUUUGAACAAAGACACAACUUUAAUAGACGGCUAAAGAUCAAACGACCCUAAAGUACUAUACCUUGGUGGGCCUAAAAGCAGCCACCCUUAGAGAAAGCGUUAAAGCUCAAGUACUUGGCUUCUUAUAAUCCAGACAAUCAAAUCUUAAGCCCCUAACCCCCAUAGUAGGCCCUCCCAUGCCCCCAUGGGAAUGAUACUGCUAGUAUGAGUAACAAGAGGGCCAAGCCCCUCUCCUGACACCUGUGUACAUCAGAACGAACUCGCACUGACAAUUAACGCCCCCAAACCAAGAGGGUAUUGAAAAACACCACCCUUGAACUAGAAAACCUCUCAAGACCCAGCGUUAUUCCCACACAGGCGUGUCCUAAAGGAAAGACUAAAAGGAAAAGAAGGAACUCGGCAAACAUUGGCCUCGCCUGUUUACCAAAAACAUCGCCUCUUGCAAAUUGAAUAUAAGAGGUCCCGCCUGCCCUGUGACUUGUUAGUUUAACGGCCGCGGUAUUUUGACCGUGCAAAGGUAGCGUAAUCACUUGUCUUUUAAAUGGAGACCUGUAUGAAUGGCAUAACGAGGGCUAAGCUGUCUCCUUUUCCCAGUCUAUGAAAUUAAUCUUCCCGUGCAGAAGCGGGUAUGCCCACAUAAGACGAGAAGACCCUAUGGAGCUUCAGACAAAAGGCAGCCCGCAUAGAGGCAACUAAGUCAAUUUAACCACUCAAGCGGCCCCUGCCCUCUUGUCUUUGGUUGGGGCGACCGCGGAGGAACACAAAUCCCCCGUGUGGAAAGGAGACUAAUCUUCUAAAGCUAGAGCAACAGCUCCCACAAACAGAAUAUCUGACCACCAAGACCCGGCAAAGCCGAGCAACGGACCGAGUUACCCUAGGGAUAACAGCGCAAUCCCCUUUCAGAGCCCUUAUCGACAAGGGGGUUUACGACCUCGAUGUUGGAUCAGGACAUCCUAAUGGUGCAGCCGCUAUUAAGGGUUC